rnacentral:rRNA from 1 species
GACGAACACUGGCGGCGUGCUUAACACAUGCAAGUCGAACGAAGUGGCGAACGGGUGAGUAACGCGUAAUCAACCUGCCCUUCAGAGGGUGACAACAGUUGGAAACGACUGCUAAUACCGCAUACUGAAGGAGGGGACUGCGUCGGAUUAGCUAGUUGGAGGGGUAACGGCCAACCAAGGCGCAGAUCAGGAGCCGGUCUGGGAGGAGGAACGGCCACAUUGGGACUUGGACACGGCCCAGACUCCUACGGGGGGCAGCAGUGGGGAAUCUGCCGCAAUGGACGAAAGUCUGACGGAGCAACGCCGCGUGAGUGAUGACGGGCUUCGGGUUGUAAAGCUCUGUUAAUCGGGACGCGGUACCGGAAUAGAAAGCCACGGCUAACUACGUGCCAGCCGCCGCGGUAAUAC